GACGAACGCUGGCGGCGUGCCUAAUACAUGCAAGUAGAACGCAGUCGCGAACGGGUGCGUAACGCGUAGGUAACUGCCUGGUAGCGGGGGAUAACCAUUGGAAACGAUAGCUAAUACUGCAGACUACCAGAUGGAUCUCCGUUGUAUUAGCUAGUUGGUGGGGUAACGGCUCACCAAGGCAACGAUACGUAGACGACCUGUGUGGGUGAUCGGCGGCACUCGGACUGCAACACGACCCAGACUCCUACGGGGGGCAGCAGUAGGGAAUCUUCGGCAAUGGACGGGAGUCUGAUCGGGCAACGCCUCGUGAGGGGUGAGGGUUUUCGGAUCGUAAGGAUCGGUUUUAAGAGGAGCGUUAUCUUACCGGAAGGGGACGGCUAACUACGUGCCAGCCGCCGCGGUAAUAC
rnacentral:rRNA from 1 species